UAAAUUCGCUUGUGGAAAUUAUUCAGCUCCAAAAGCAGUUUGAUCUCGUUGAAACUCCGGCCACCGAUAUGGCGACCUCCCCUUCAGAAAUAUUCUCCCUAAUUACUUGAAGCCGCUUUAAUCGCCAGACCUAUUCUCACCCAACUUUUCACUUCUAUUCUGACUAGUUCCAUCGAUCUUCCUCAUACAAAUUUGAGUUUCAACAGACUUCAUCAAUCUCCCAGAUUCUCUUGCCAUUAUUCUUGUUUUGAAGUGUGGUUCAUGUUUGAAUUCCAUUUUUAACUGCUCAAUUUCUGAGACACUUUAGGGAAUCUAAUUUGGGUAUGUUCUGAUCUUGUGACAAUCUGACUUGUAUCACUUUUGGAAAUUCUUACUUCGGGUACGUUCCAUUUGCGCUCAAAGAUUUGGGAAUGAUGGCAAUCCAUGUCAAUCUCCUGAAUCACUACCUCCAGAAAGAGUUGGUAAUACCUUUCAAUUUCCUGAGAGGUAAAAUAUAAUAAUUUCCACUUAGGAAUUAGGUUCAAACAAGAUUUCUGGAAAAGAACCUUUAAAAAUGAUGUUGGAGAUUUGUUGUUUAGCUGUUCUGUUUUCAGUUUAAAACAUAAACAAUUAUUAAUGGCCUCUAUUAAUAUAUUCAAGAAUGUUCUUUUCUCAACAGCUCCAAACAUACCCAUGAUGUCAAUAUCCACUAGUUUUUGAAUUUGUAACUAGGUUGGAAUGUUUGCUGUUAUAUCAAAGUAAAAAUAUUUGAAUUUGUGAACUUUUCUGUGGAGGCAUCAAUUUAUUAUUAUUGUUAUUAUGAUAUGAACUGGCAUUCUUUAGGGUUUCGUAUUAUUAAUAAUAAUGUCAUCUUUUAUUUCAUUCAGAUCAAAAGGGAUUCCUGUUCGCCUUAUCUUUUGGUGUCCAUUUUGAAUUUUAUGUUUACCUCUUAUUUCUGGUUAUCUGGUUGUCAACUAAUGUAGGUAAGACCAAGAGAUAUUCUGAAUCUAUUAUCUAGCUUAUGAAUCUGGUUCUGGUAAAACAAUAUCCUUUGGUGCAAGAGGGCCUGAACGUCUCUGCAUUUCAUUAAUGAGUAUGAUCUCCUGGUACCCAAAAGUUAGCUCAAGGGGAGGAAUCUCUAACGCAAAGGCACCUUACCCUAUCUCAAACCACCGAUGUGGGAUAUACUGGAGCUUAAGAGACAUCCAACAAUGGUGAGGAGACUCUAAUACCAGGGUCAGGUCUAACUCAUUCCAAAAUCUAGCUAGGGGAGAUCCCUAAAGCCCUUAUUUCCAAACAGAUGUGGGAUUCAAUAGUAACCAUACUCUAUUUUCUCAAGAUUUUAUAUAGUUUUGCUAGCUAGGUUUUUGGUGCAGAAUUGCGAUGGGCAGACUCUAUACACAUUGAAUAUAUAUUUGGAAGGCCAAGGCAAAAAGGCAGCCUUCAAUUGAAGGAGCAUCUUGGUUUUGAACAUUCAGAAAGCUAUUACUUGGGUACAAGCUUUGUUUUCUUUAAAGAAAUGUUUGAAUUUUCUUCUUCUCUUCCUGGCCUCCUCUAUUUAAUGUAUGCUUGUGUGUGUGACUUAAGUGGGUCCUGGUUGUUAUGUGCAUGCCAUUACUAUUCUUUAUAAGUUUUUUCUUUUGGUCUUAUUUAAUUGAAGCCUUACUGCCUAAGAUUGAAUUUAAUGGCGUCUCCCUGGAAAAAAGAUCAUUACUCCCUUACUGAUGGCUACAAAAGUAGGCUUGCUUAUGCAAUCCAACUUGUAAGAUGCUAUAUGUUAAUCGACACUAAAAUUGAUUUCAGACAGGCUUCAACCUAAAUUCGUAAUAUUUGAUAGUCAGAUGAGUAUUUUAUUUAUGAUGAAUGUCAAUGGAUUUUGAUGUUCAGGUUCAGGUCCUUGACUGUUGAUUUGGACGAAUCUCUUGGUGGUCUUGUAUUCCCCAUUUCCAUUGAUGUUACUUCCACUCAGACCAUACUGGAAAUCGUUCUUGUAGCGUUGUAUCCUUUCCAUUGACUUCGAUUCUGUAAGAAAUUUUCUGUUAUCUUCAUUCUCGCUUGCUAAGUCUGCAUUGUGACCCAGAGCCUUAAUAUUCUCUUUAUGGAACUCAAUGAACUCUUCUUCGGCUAAAGAGUUUUCAGGAUGCACUUGUCUAUGUAACAUUCUUAGUACCUGCAUGCCAAAUUUGAGCAAAAUCAGAACUCUUGUGGAAAAUGUGUCAUUUAAUAUAUUUUAUGCAAUAUUGAAAGUUUAUACUCAUAGUUCAGGAUCCCAUUGACAACAUAUUUUUAUGGUGGUGAAUUUGUUGCCUACUGGAGUUUUUUGUUUAAAAGUAUACUGGUUGAUCAUGAAUACAGGUUACCAGAUGGUCUUGAUUGGUGAUUAAGAAAAUUUCUUGAGACAAGUAUUUUGUAAUUUAAGAUGUAGCCUAUGCACAUAGAUGAUGCUUUUCAACAGGUACGUAAUGUACUCAACCCUUAAUUUCUUUUUCUUGCACAGAUCCCUUGGGUUAAGUUGAAAAAGAAAUCUGCACCAUCCUAUUCUUGUGCUUGAAAACCAGUUGGCCAGAUAUUCUGGCAGCAUGCUUCAAAGAAAACAAAUCAGUAUUCAGCCUAUUCAACUGUUGGUCAUGAGAAUAUAGCAAUAUUGGUCACAGAAUUAUAGAUAGACUCGCCGGGUCCGUGAUUACGUUUUCUGAGGAACCUAGAGCUGGUAAACUCACCUUAUUAAGCUUUUUCUUGGUUGAAACAGAACUGGCAGCUUCAUUAGUGGAUGGAGGAGCAGGACUCCUUGAAGGAUGAAACUUUCUUAGUAUUUUUUUGAUGAGAUGUUUAGCAGAUUUAUGUGCUUGCUUGGCAUGCAUUUCUCGUUUCCCUUCAGUUUCGGCAGAAGUUUCAUCUUUCUCUCAAUGAACCAAAUAGAUAUCCUUGAAGUGGACAUGGUGCAACCUUUACAUAAUCAUCAGCUUUGGCUCCCUUCAUUUGCAUGCCUCCGAGUGUAAUAGUGCUAAUGCAACUGUUCCUUCCCAAUGAUUCAUUGCAAUCUUCUUUGGCUUCAGCUUCAGUGUCAAGAAACUUUCUUGUUUCGUCUUUGAGGACUUUCAAGUCAUUAUCUGUCACCUCUAUUUUUUCAUCCGCUAUGUUCUCCAAAGACCUGGGAAAUGUUGGUGUUGCUGGCUCACUGGUGCCGUAUUCUGAACCGAGUGUUCCAAUUGCAAGAAAACCAUGAAAAAGGUCGGGUAUGACCAUGGAUGUUUCAUCUUCACAAUUACCUUCUGCUUUCUUGGCUUCAACUUCAGAUAAAUUAUUUUCACGUGCCUCAUGUCUGGAGUCAAACCUUGGUCUUAUAUGGGACACUUGGUCAUCAAGAGGUGUCUUUGCUGAAAGGCAAGCACAAUAGUUCCCUGAAGCAGGAGUAAUGAGAAAAAUUAAGGCAACAUGGAAGAACAUUUUAAUUGGCUUUUUGGGCAUGCAGUUAUAAUAGAUUUCUAUACUUGAAAAUGCAAACAUGUACGAUCUUAUAAGUGUCAUACCAAAUUCCAUUAAUUGGAUGAGGCAAGCCUCAGAUGAAUGAACAAUGUAGGUUAGAGAAUCAUUGACUUGUGCAACAGUGUGGUAGUACUGCAUACAGCACAUUAUUUGAAUUACAAGGUGGAUGCUAUAUUUGUUCUGAUCUACCUAUUUCUAGCAUGCUCACCGAAGACAGUUUCAGUUGCACUAUAAGGACAAGAGAUCUUCUGGUCUCAAGACUCGAUUAAUGUUGGAAAAUCUUAAAAAAGUCAGAUGCAACACUUGUACUGAGCUGCUUACUCUUUCUCUAGCCUUCUACUUUAUUUUAUUUUGGCUAAGCUGAAAAAACUAGACAAGUGAAAUGAUUUGAUAAUAAAGCUAAUGUUUUCAUAAACUAAUUUCGCGUGGACAGGAACAGCUGGUUCUAUGGCAACAGGAUACAAGCAGGCUCAGGCAGUCUUGGUAUAUCUUUAAAGUUGAGAUGUUUCUGCCACAAAAUGAUCUGCCUGAGACUCAAUAUUUUGAGUGUCGGUUUUGCCAAUUGAUGUGAUGGUAGGUAAAUGAUGCUCAGGGAAGUUUUGUGUUUUUAUCUGACAAUUUAUGUAUAAGUAGAAGAAGAAGAAGAAGAGGAGGAGGAGAGUUGGAAUACCUAUUUUAAAGUCCUUGAAUGGCUCAAUGUUAGUAUCCCGUAUUUUAUUGUGCAUCCAACCUAGAAACUGCAAAAAUGAAAUAUAGAGAUGAAGUUGAAAGAUCAUUGAUAUUUGUUCUAUUUUAAAUUUGGUAAGAGCAUGGAGUAUGGACUCACCCUCAUUUUGAUCUGUCUGAAGGUUUUGAUAUUGCGAGUCACAAGAGCGAUUUGAUAGACUUAGGUAAUAAAUAUGCAGGGUAAGCAGGACCUUAAAAGAAGAUAUUAGGGUCACUAAAGAGCAUAAGAUUCUGGAUUUUUUUAAUCAUGAUUGUUCAAUGAGUUGGAAGUCAGUGGAUGCUAGGAGGGAUAUUUUGGCUCCUGUUAGAGAGAAACAUUUAGAUAGAAACAAGCUUCUUGUUGGCUGUUCUUUGUCAAGCUUAAAUCAAUUAGAAGGAUUUGGGAUUAGUUAUGAGACCCUCAAACCCAAGUUGGGUUGAAAAUUUUGCUUGCAUGCUUGAGGUGGUUCUAUGUAUACUUAAAUCAAUUGGAUGCACAUUAACCACGAAUCAAAAUAGGUGCAAUUUGUUUUCACAUGCAUCCAUUAUGUUGGCCAUAUAUUAAUGAUAUGUGCAUCUUUUUAUGGAUUCAUACGUUGAAUGAGAGUGGACAUAUGAACACAAUCAAAUCUCCAUAAAUAUUAACUCUCUCUCUCUCUCUCCCCAUAUAAAUGUGUGUUGUGUGUGUGUGUGUGUAUUGCUUCAUGACUUUUUUGCACAUGGUAAUUUGUGAAAUGUAGAAGGGCACCAUUGCUUGUAGGACCAAAAAAUGUUGUGGGUGAAAUGUGAUUACAUUAUAAUUGUUGUGGGUCAAAAAGUGAUUACAUUAUAAGUUAUGCUCUACAUGGAUCCCAAAGGGAAACGAUGAAUUCUUUUAGCUCUUUAGCAAAUGCUUUUGGUUGAGAUACUUCUAACUGAAUGAUUCUUAUCUAGUACCAAUUACCACUGUGCUUCUUUUAGCUCUUCGGCAAAUGCUUUUGGUUGAGAUGCUUCUAACUGAAUGAUUCUUAUCUAGUACCAAAUACCACUGUGCUUCUUUUAGCUCUUCAGCAAAUGCUUCUGCUUGAGAUACUUCUAACUGAAUGAUUCUCAUCUGGAACACAAUUACCACUGUGCUUGCGACAUGAAAUAUCUGUGCUAAUAGUACUGAAAGAUUAGGCUGGGCCAUUGUGUAUUGAUCUUUAGAAGUGGUUUGUAACUUUUUAGCUAUUCUCUUAUUCAUAUUAUUUUUGACAUUAUUAUUAUUAAUCACCACUGUGGCAUCAGUAUAAUAUUAAAGUUACUCUAUUUAUAACCCAAGUCCACGAGUUUAAUCCACAUGAACAGCCUCUUUGAAUUAGGGUUUAGGGUUUGUGAAGCAAGGCUAAGGUGGCAUACAUCAACCGUUCCCGGGGUUCACAAAUGUUGGAUGGCUAGCGAGUCGCACCUUUUUUUUUGUUUUCAUUAAUCACCAUUCUUGCUUACCCUACUAGCUCUCUUAUUUUGUGAAAUUUAUGUUUCUUCUGUGUGUUUUUUGUUGUGUUGUGGGUAAUUUUGUUUCACUACGGAGGAUAUAUAUCUGAAGUGAGAGAUGUACAGUUGACAGCAAUUUUUUGCACUUCUCACAAAGAGACUGUGUUCAUUGCAAUGUGCCAAAAACAUUGAGCUGUGAUUUGUUGAUGGUCACUUGUCAGGGAAGCACAAACUUGAUGCAGGCUUAUUGUGACAUCAUUAGUGACUUUAGUUGAACUUUUCAGAUUGCAUCAAUCAUCUUUUUCUGUUCAAACAUUAUUAGCGCAACCUGACAGAGUUGCUGGCUUUUUUUUUUUUU